AUGAACACUCCAAACCCAGAGAGGGACACCCAAACCCAGAGAGGGACACCCCAAACCCAGACAGGGACACCCCAAACCCAAACCAGGACGAAAUGGGGACCCCAGCACAGCCCAUGGUGUUUGUACAGGAUGGGACUGGGAAUGGCUGGGGGGGAAAUGGGGACCCCAGCACAGCCCAUGGUGUUUGUACAGGAUGGGACUGGGAAUGGCUGGGGGGGAAAUGGGGACCCCAGCACAGCCCAUGGUGUUUGUACAGGAUGGGACUGGGAAUGGCUGGGGGGGAAAUGGGGACCCCAGCACAGCCCAUGGUGUUUGUACAGGAUGGGACUGGGAAUGGCUGGGGGGGAAAUGGGGACCCCAGCACAGCCCAUGGUGUUUGUACAGGAUGGGACUGGGAAUGGCUGGGGGGGAAAUGGGGACCCCAGCACAGCCCAUGGUGUUUGUACAGGAUGGGACUGGGAAUGGCUGGGGGGGAAAUGGGGACCCCAGCACAGCCCAUGGUGUUUGUACAGGAUGGGACUGGGAAUGGCUGGGGGGGAAAUGGGGACCCCAGCACAGCCCAUGGUGUUUGUACAGGAUGGGACUGGGAAUGGCUGGGGGGGAAAUGGGGACCCCAGCACAGCCCAUGGUGUUUGUACAGGAUGGGACUGGGAAUGGCUGGGGGGGAAAUGGGGACCCCAGCACAGCCCAUGGUGUUUGUACAGGAUGGGACUGGGAAUGGCUGGGGGGGAAAUGGGGACCCCAGCACAGCCCAUGGUGUUUGUACAGGAUGGGACUGGGAAUGGCUGGGGGGGAAAUGGGGACCCCAGCACAGCCCAUGGUGUUUGUACAGGAUGGGACUGGGAAUGGCUGGGGGGGAAAUGGGGACCCCAGCACAGCCCAUGGUGUUUGUACAGGAUGGGACUGGGAAUGGCUGGGGGGGAAAUGGGGACCCCAGCACAGCCCAUGGUGUUUGUACAGGAUGGGACUGGGAAUGGCUGGGGGGGAAAUGGGGACCCCAGCACAGCCCAUGGUGUUUGUACAGGAUGGGACUGGGAAUGGCUGGGGGGGAAAUGGGGACCCCAGCACAGCCCAUGGUGUUUGUACAGGAUGGGACUGGGAAUGGCUGGGGGGGAAAUGGGGACCCCAGCACAGCCCAUGGUGUUUGUACAGGAUGGGACUGGGAAUGGCUGGGGGGGAAAUGGGGACCCCAGCACAGCCCAUGGUGUUUGUACAGGAUGGGACUGGGAAUGGCUGGGGGGGAAAUGGGGACCCCAGCACAGCCCAUGGUGUUUGUACAGGAUGGGACUGGGAAUGGCUGGGGGGGAAAUGGGGACCCCAGCACAGCCCAUGGUGUUUGUACAGGAUGGGACUGGGAAUGGCUGGGGGGGAAAUGGGGACCCCAGCACAGCCCAUGGUGUUUGUACAGGAUGGGACUGGGAAUGGCUGGGGGGGAAAUGGGGACCCCAGCACAGCCCAUGGUGUUUGUACAGGAUGGGACUGGGAAUGGCUGGGGGGGAAAUGGGGACCCCAGCACAGCCCAUGGUGUUUGUACAGGAUGGGACUGGGAAUGGCUGGGGGGGAAAUGGGGACCCCAGCACAGCCCAUGGUGUUUGUACAGGAUGGGACUGGGAAUGGCUGGGGGGGAAAUGGGGACCCCAGCACAGCCCAUGGUGUUUGUACAGGAUGGGACUGGGAAUGGCUGGGGGGGAAAUGGGGACCCCAGCACAGCCCAUGGUGUUUGUACAGGAUGGGACUGGGAAUGGCUGGGGGGGAAAUGGGGACCCCAGCACAGCCCAUGGUGUUUGUACAGGAUGGGACUGGGAAUGGCUGGGGGGGAAAUGGGGACCCCAGCACAGCCCAUGGUGUUUGUACAGGAUGGGACUGGGAAUGGCUGGGGGGGAAAUGGGGACCCCAGCACAGCCCAUGGUGUUUGUACAGGAUGGGACUGGGAAUGGCUGGGGGGGAAAUGGGGACCCCAGCACAGCCCAUGGUGUUUGUACAGGAUGGGACUGGGAAUGGCUGGGGGGGAAAUGGGGCCCUGGCUCAGCCCAGGGCUGUCCCUGGGGUGCAAGGGGGGAUGAACCCUGGGAAAUGCUGCGUGUGACACCGCAGGGGUGGGAAGUCCCUUCCCAGCCAAAACUGUGGCAUUCUGGGGCAGGGACACCUCCAGAACCCAAUCCCACCUGGGCCUGCUCCUGCCCAGGGGGAUCAGAGUGCCAGGAAAAGGAUGUUCCCGCCCGAAAUCCCGGGAUUCUGGGGCAGGACACCAGAUUCCUGCGCCCAGCUGUGCCCAUCCCUCAGUGCCCAGCCCCGACUCACCGCCCAGCUGUGCUCAGCCCAGACUCACAGCCCAGCCGUGCCCAGCCCAGACUCACAGCCCAGCCGUGCCCAGCCCAGACUCACAGCCCAGCUGUGCCCAGCUGUGCCCAUCCCUCAGUGCCCAGCCCCGACUCACCGUCCAGCUGUGCCCAGCUGUGUCCAGCCGUGCCCAGCCCGGACUCACCGCCCAGCUGUGCCCACCCCAGACUCGCUGUCCAGCCAUGCCCACCUGUGCCCAGCCCCGACUCACCGUCCAGCUGGGGGGGGGGGGGGGGGGGGGGGGGGGGGGGGGGGGGGGGGGGGGGGGGGGGGGAGGUCAUCCCUCAGUGCCCAGCCCCGACUCACCGCCCACCCGUGCCCAGCCCAGACUCACCGCCCAGCCGUGCCCACCCGUGCCCAGCCCGGACUCACCGUCCAGCUGUGCCCGUCGUAGCUGCCCUCCAGGAUGACCUCGGGCCGGCCGCCCACACCGGGGGGGGGGGGGGGGGGGGGGGGGGGGGGGGGGGGGGGGGGGGGGGGGGGGGGGGGGGGGGGGGGGGGGGGGGGGGGGGGGGG
ensembl:lncRNA